rnacentral:rRNA from 1 species
CAGAUAGCAUGCCAUGUCUAAGUAUAAGCAAUUAUACCGUGAAACUGCGAAUGGCUCAUUAAAUCAGUUAUCGUUUAUUUGAUAGUACCUUACUACUUGGAUAACCGUGGUAAUUCUAGAGCUAAUACAUGCUAAAAACCCCGACUUCGGAAGGGGUGUAUUUAUUAGAUAAAAAACCAACGCCCUUCGGGGCUGCUUGGUGAUUCAUGAUAACUUUUCAGAUCGCAUGGCCUUGCGCCGGCGACGGUUCAUUCAAAUUUCUGCCCUAUCAACUUUCGAUGGUAAGGUAUUGGCUUACCAUGGUUUCAACGGGUAACGGGGAAUUAGGGUUCGAUUCCGGAGAGGGAGCCUGAGAAACGGCUACCACAUCCAAGGAAGGCAGCAGGCGCGCAAAUUACCCAAUCCCGACACGGGGAGGUAGUGACAAUAAAUACUGAUACAGGGCUCUUUUGGGUCUUGUAAUUGGAAUGAGUACAAUUUAAACCUCUUAACGAGGAACAAUUGGAGGGCAAGUCUGGUGCCAGCAGCCGCGGUAAUUCCAGCUCCAAUAGCGUAUAUUAAAGUUGUUGCAGUUAAAAAGCUCGUAGUUGAACCUUGGGCCUGGCUGGCGGGUCCGCCUCACCGCGUGUACUUGUCCGGCCGGGCCUUUCCUUCUGGAGAACCUCAUGCCCUUCACUGGGUGUGUUGGGGAACCAGGACUUUUACUUUGAAAAAAUUAGAGUGUUCAAAGCAGGCCUUUGCUCGAAUACGUUAGCAUGGAAUAAUAGAAUAGGACGUGCGGUCCUAUUUUGUUGGUUUCUAGGACCGCCGUAAUGAUUAAUAGGGACAGUCGGGGGCAUCAGUAUUCAAUUGUCAGAGGUGAAAUUCUUGGAUUUAUUGAAGACUAACUACUGCGAAAGCAUUUGCCAAGGAUGUUUUCAUUAAUCAGUGAACGAAAGUUAGGGGAUCGAAGACGAUCAGAUACCGUCGUAGUCUUAACCGUAAACUAUGCCGACUAGGGAUCGGGCGAUGUUUCUAUCUUGACUCGCUCGGCACCUUACGAGAAAUCAAAGUUUUGGUCUGGGG